UACGUGUUUUUGUCUCAGGGUUAAAGUCAUACUAAAUGUAAUUGAAUCAUUAUUCCGUAUUAGGCUAUAUGCAUUGUUUAACUUCUUGAUAGUACAGUUGAUGGUAAAACAGUAUGUAUUUGUCUAUUCCUGGGUGGAAUACACUUGUUAGUUGUUCUGGGUGACUAGAAUGUAAAAGCAGUGUCUAAAUGAAUAUACUUGUUAACCUUUAACCCUCUCUGUCUCCCUCUCUGCAGAUAGCUGAGGCCUUUGUCCUCCAGGAAGAUUAUGAGCGAGCAGUGUGCUGUGUUCAGCUGGAGAGACUCUACCACCAGAGAUGACUACACAACCUGACAACACUGCAGGAACAGUGGGAGAGGAGGUGUAGGUCAGACGGUCAGGGAGUGAGGAACAAUAACACCAACCUGGCUGCACAGCAACUGGACAGACUCGCAUACAUCUGCCAAACACACCAACGGUUUGUAAAGGGGGUCUUUAGAUGUGGUCCUUUACAGCUCAGUACAGGUAAAUGUCCUAUAACAAGGAAGACCUUGAGAGGCAGGUAAAGGGAUGUACAUCGACACACCUGUGCUCUCCCAGGUAGUUACAGUGGUGAUGGGUUUAACAUAUGGCUCUUUGGUGUUGCUGCACUUUCAGUCAUUUGAGUUGCAGCACUGCUAGAGUUUGACACACACUGAAAAACAUAGGGAAAUGAGCAUUCCCUGGUGGCCUUGGCUACUCAGACCUUUCUUCAAUCAUAGAGGAGGAAAGUCACAGUACUAACUGACUUUAUCUCUCUCUCUCCCCCCAUCUCUCUCUCUCCCCAUCUCUCUCUCUCUCCCCAUCUCUCUCCCCAUCUCUCUCCCCAUCUCUCUCCCUAUCUCUCUCCCCAUCUCUCUCUCUCUCCCCA
rnacentral:lncRNA from 13 species